rnacentral:ncRNA from 1 species
UCCAUCGUGAGAUGGAAUCUGAAGGAAGUUGGAGGCAAAGCUUCGGUCUGAGGAAUACGAACUGUAUAGAAGGCACAAUUCUGGGGAUGAGUUUGCUUAACAAAACAAAGCCCAAAACUAUUCAAGACAGGAAGUGUAAAUACAGCGGAUAGAUGAAGUGAAAGUAAAUAUU